CUCUAACAUCUCCCAGUGCUGUUCUAACAUCUCCCAGUGCUGCUCUAACAAUGUUUGAACAGCACUGGGAGAUGUUUGAACAGCACUGGGAGAUGUUAGA
rnacentral:pre_miRNA from 1 species